GUCCUAGCUGUAAACGAUGAGUACUAGGUGUUGGAGGUAUUGACCCCUUCAGUGCCGAAGCUAACGCAUUAAGUACUCCGCCUGGGAACUACGAUCGCAAGAUUGAAACUCAAAGAAAUUGACGGGGGCCCGCACAAGCGGUGGAGCAUGUUGUUUAAUUCGAUGCAACGCGAAAAACCUUACCUAAAUUUGACAUGGUGUGACAUUCGCAUGAAAGUGCGACUUCCCGCAAGGGACACAUACACAGGUGCUGCAUGGCUGUCGU
rnacentral:rRNA from 1 species